rnacentral:rRNA from 1 species
UACAGAGGGGGCAAGCGUUGUUCGGAAUUACUGGGCGUAAAGGGCGCGUAGGCGGCCCGCUAAGUCGAACGUGAAAUCCCCGAGCUCAACUCGGGAACUGCGUCCGAUACUGGCGGGCUUGAAUCCGGGAGAGGGAUGCGGAAUUCCAGGUGUAGCGGUGAAAUGCGUAGAUAUCUGGAGGAACACCGGUGGCGAAGGCGGCAUCCUGGACCGGCAUUGACGCUGAGGCGCGAAAAGCGUGGGGAGCAAACAGG